AUUGAACGCUGGCGGCAGGCUUAACACAUGCAAGUCGAGCGAGCGGCGGACGGGUGAGUAACGCGUGGUAACCUACCUAUUAGAGGGGGAUAACUAUUGGAAACGAUAGCUAAUACCGCAUACUAGUAGAUGGACCUGCGUUGUAUUAGCUAGUAGGUAGGGUAAUGGCCUACCUAGGCAACGCUACAUAGCCGACCUGAGAGGAUGAUCAGCCACACUGGGACUGAGACACGGCCCAGACUCCUACGGGAGGCAGCAGUGGGGAAUAUUGCACAAUGGGCGCAAGCCUGAUGCAGCCAUGCCGCGUGAGUGAUGACGGCCUUCGGGUUGUAAAGCUCGUUAAUCGGGACGACGGUACCGGAAUAGAAAGCCACGGCUAACUACGUGCCAGCCGCCGCGGUAAUUC
rnacentral:rRNA from 1 species